GUUAGACAAGGUAAGCGCCCGUGCGGUGACGUUCGCCGGCUGGGAUCCGCCAAGGACGUCCRUGGGGGAUGGACACACGCCGUGUCGGGCCCUAACCCACCCUUCCCUCGGCAGCUUGGCAUCACCAACGUCACCUUCCACGACGAGCAGCUGGAGGAGGAGAUCAAGGACCGAUUCAGCACGCCUCUGAUCAUCACCAUCAUCACCCUGGCCGGCUCCCUGCUGCUYGUCGCUGCCAUCUACGGCUGCUGCCACCAGCGCUUCUCCCACAAGAAGGACCAGCGCCUGACCGAGGAGCUGCAGACCAUGGAGAACGGCUACCACGACAACCCCACGCUGGAGGUGAUGGAGACCUCCUCGGAGAUGCAGGAGAAGAAGGUGAACCUCAACGGGGAGCUGGGCGACAGCUGGAUCGUUCCUCUGGACACGCUCAUGAAAGACGACCUGGAGGAAGAGGAGGACACGCAUUUAUAGGACGCGGGACUCGGGCGAGCAGGAAAAACAACCCCUGGAAACCCUGUAACCCCACCUGUACGCACACACCACCCCAAAAGAAAGCAAACCCCCCCCUGCAAACCCCCCCAAAUCCCCUAGGAGCUCCUCACAGCCAUGCAGGGCACAGGACGGAGAGGGAGGCGGGCGAGGAGAUGCCACCGCGGCGGGCGCGUGUCCCAGCCCCACGGCGAGGAGCUGGAGCAUCGCUUGCUCCCCUGACUUUUUUGGGGAUGCUUUGGCCCUUUGCGGGCUCCGGCUCCCGGGAAGCCUUUGGGCAGCGCUCCCUGCUCCCGGCGGGCUUUGCUCUCCCCUCUCCGCAGGCUCCCGCCCUUGCAAAGCCCACGGAGCAACGCAGCCCCCACAGCUACGCCGGCGCCACUCCGUCAGCCGGCGGAAAGGGCCCUUUUCCCCAAUUUUUGAAGCCCAGCAUUGGAAAAGCAACAAAAAAAGUCCCCCAGCACCUUCACCCGGACAAGCCGGGGGCAGGAGGUGCUGGACGCCCCCGCCACGGGGCCGGGCUGCCGGGAGAUGCCAGUGGCCGUGGGGACAGUGAGCCGCACUAAUCCUCCGCCACGUGUCCCCUGGCAAAGCGCCCGGGCUCCCGCAGCCCCCUUCCCUUUCCGGAGCCCUUGGAGACGGCCCCAAAACUGCCGGCUGGAAUGCACAAGGGCCGCGGCGGUUCGUGCCAUAAGCGGACGCGGAUGCCCAGGUCCYGCUGGAUCCGAGGGCCCCGGCUGCUCGGCGGUUUCCGCAGCAGCUUUCCGCUUCGAGGUGGACGAGAGCGAGAGAAGAAGUCGCGCCCRGCCCUCGUCCUUCCUGGGGAGCUUCAGAAACGAGACCGGAAGCGAAGCGCGAGGUUGGGAUCGUUGCAACGAGGUUCAGCCCCAGCGCGCGGCGUUCCCGCUGGACCCGGCCCAGGAACCGCAGCGGCUUUGAUACCUGGUGCACGUCCUCCCUCCCUGGACACCGGGGGCUACGUGUCCUGCAACGUCCCGGCCUGGUAGGGACUUCCGUGGUCGCAUUUUCCCUCGCAAGCGGUGGAAAAGAUGGAAGAAUCGGGUACGGGCGAGCGGGAACCAGGUAGCUUGAGGACGUUUUGGGUUUUUCCAUCAGUCCAGCCCACGGUGGUUCCUUCCCGUGAGGUUCAUCGGCUCAGUUGGCGUCCUCAAGCUUUCCUUCCGAAGCAACCAAAACCGCAGAGACCCGCAAAGAAACGUGCGGUUGGGCGGCGAAGCUGGGAACGAACUUUGUCCCUCCGCCCUCGGGCCGUUUUCUUUCUUUUUUAAGGUCUCCCAUGGCAGUAAGUCUCUUCCUUCAGGUGCCGCAGGUGGAUGAAGGCGACGGAGAUCAGACCCGCAGCGGGGACGAAGCAGAGCGGGAAGCUCGGGGAAAGCCGGGUCUUGCCCGGCCGCCGCAAUAUUUAUGGGUGAAGGGGUUGGGGCAGUUUUGUCUCCACCGGGCGAAGAUGCCGCUCGCAGAGGACAGGGUUKGAGGCGCUCAAACCCAUCUAUUUUUGUAUGUAAAUAUUAAGCGCCGUUCGUUAGCCACGUGCUCGGCCCACGUCACUUAGCUGUGCGCUGCACUAGGGGGAAGCGAUUCUGGAGGGGGGGAAAAAAAGUGAAAAAAAUAAAAAAAAAAAACAAGUAAAAAGAGAUAGAGAA
rnacentral:lncRNA from 1 species